rnacentral:lncRNA from 1 species
AAGAGCUUCAUCUUUCACUUCGACAGUAGCUUGUUGGUACUUGUUGGUGCUCAUAUUUAUGACUUGUCCCCUACUUACUUUAAACUUUCAUUUAACUAUUCAUACUAAAAUUUUCAUAUCGUGGGGGUUGAUUAAAAAUACCUGUUAUUACAUACAAAUAGUGUGAAAAGAGGGAGAAAAUGAAAUAAUGAGGGUAACAAGAAAGAGGAAGGUGGUGUCUUCUUUCUCUUGAUAGAUUUGGAACAGUGACACAUUUCCUUUAACUCUCCAUUGAUAUUGACCGUCCCUGUUUUUUAACCAUCAACAUCUUCUCUUCCCCAUCUAACUUAACUAUCAAGUGUAUCUCCAUCCACA